AUUGAACGCUGGCGGCAGGCUUAACACAUGCAAGUCGAACGAGCGGCGGACGGGUGAGUAAUGUCUGGGAAACUGCCUGAUGGAGGGGGAUAACUACUGGAAACGGUAGCUAAUACCGCAUACCAUCAGAUGUGCCCAGAUGUGAUUAGCUAGGAGGUGGGGUAAUGGCUCACCUCGGCGACGAUCCCUAUCUGGUCUGAGAGGAUGACCAGCCACACUGGAACUGAGACACGUUCCAUACUCCUACGGGAGGCAGUAGUGGGGAAUAUUGCACAAUGGGCGCAAGCCUGAUGCAGCCAUGCCGCGUGUGUGAAGAAGGCCUUCGGGUUGUAAAGCACUUUCAGCGAGGAGGCGUGACGCGGAGAAGAAGCACCGGCUAACUCCGUGCCAGCAGCCGCGGUAAUUC
rnacentral:rRNA from 1 species